GCCUGCGCGCGCCGGCCGGCGCCUGGCGCGACGCCCACACCGACUCCGACGACAACAGCGACUCCGCCGCCAACACCACCACCAAAGGGUCCGGCGGCUCCCCGUGCGGCAGCACGUACGGCAGCGGGCGGCGCAGCGCGCGCACCACCAGCAGGUAGAACCCAGUGGAGGCCCCAACGGGAGCGAUGGGCUUUCAGGAAGCUUUGCCCCCGUUGCCGCAGAUAUAUCGUCAUUAAUCGAUAAAUACCAACAAAGAAAAGAACAAGAACGUCGGGAAUGUACUAUCCACGUUUAACAUUCCAUGGUCCAUUAUAAAGUAAGAAACUUAUAGUCUGCGAUAACUUGAUUUUGAUUUUCAUAACGAUUCUAAGAUUUAUAUACUUACAUACUUAACUACUCAAAUAAAAUGAUGUAUUUCUUACAAUGCUCAAUCAUUGUUUUCAUCGUGUUUAUCGUACAAUUUCAAUGAAUCGAUGGCAUGAUGUUAUUUUUCACGAAACUGAUCGUGACUACCCCAUUGAUGUUACAAAAUAUUGUUAUUUACAUUAAUAAAAAUUGCUAUUUAUUUUACUGUUAAUCUGUCACAGUUUAGAUUUUUAAAAGAUUAACAUGCAAUUGUAAAUAUUAGCAAAAAUAAGCUUAAAAAUAGCGUACCGCUUGCUGCGAGAUUGUUAAGCUAAAGACGUUGAUUUUUGUUGUGUUAUGAGGGUCAUCAAAUGGCACUACAAUUAAUUGGCUCUGAGCGUCCAAAUAAUACUCUUUAGUUAUUUUUAUAAUUAAAUGAAAAAUAUGGAAAAAGUGUAGUCAUUUGAAAUAAUCUCCCAGCAAGCAAUUUUAAUUCUACAAUACAUUAAGUGCAUGUUUUUGUAAGAAAAUUAUAAAGAAGCUUUGAGCGAAACUUUUCUACAAAAAUUAUGAACUUAUUACUUUUGUGGAUAAGAUAAUAUUAAUUAAUAGAUAAAUAAUGUUAACGGCUGUUCCAAACUGCAAAAGAUACAUAUCAUUAAAAUAGACUGCCAAUUUAAUAAUUAAGUGAUUCAUAAUUCUUUUUACUGUAUUGUUGAUUAAUAUAGUUAAUUAGCUAUUAAUUAUACACUAUUGUAUAAAAUCUUUCUAUAUACAUGUUGUGUAAUAAUGAAAUUAUU